GACAGAGGGUGCAAACGUUGUUCGGAAUUACUGGGCGUAAAGCGCGUGUAGGCGGCCAUCUAAGUCGGGCGUGAAAUCCCACGGCUCAACCGUGGAAGUGCACUCGAAACUGGAUGGCUAGAGUCCUGGAGAGGAAGGUGGAAUGCUUGGUGUAGAGGUGAAAUUCGUAGAUAUCAAGCGGAACACCGGUGGCGAAGGCGGCCUUCUGGGACAGUGACGUGACGCUGAGACGCGAAAGC
rnacentral:rRNA from 1 species